rnacentral:rRNA from 1 species
CCCUUAGAUGUUCGGAGCUGCACGCGCGCUACACUGAAGGAAGCAGCGUGUUAGAGCACCUGGCUUGAAAGAGCUGGGUAAUCCGGUGAAUGUCCUUCGUGAUUGGGAUAGGGACUUGUAAUUAUUUCCCUUGAACGAGGAAUACCUAGUAAGUGCGAGUCAUCAGCUUGCGCUGACUACGUCCCUGCCCCUUGUACACACCGCCCGUCGCUACUACUGAUUGGAUGUUUAAGCGAGGUUCUCGAACUGCUAGCGACUUAGCUUCGGUGAGGUCGCAGUGUGGGAAGUGAACCUAGCUUUGGUGUCUAGAGGAAGUAAAAGUCGUAACA